rnacentral:rRNA from 1 species
AUGGACGCAAGUCUGAUGGAGCAACGCCGCGUGAGUGAAGAAGGUUUUCGGAUCGUAAAGCUCUGUUGUUGGUGAAGAAGGAUAGAGGUAGUAACUGGCCUUUAUUUGACGGUAAUCAACCAGAAAGUCACGGCUAACUACGUGCCAGCAGCCGCGGUAAUACGUAGGUGGCAAGCGUUGUCCGGAUUUAUUGGGCGUAAAGCGAGCGCAGGCGGAAAAAUAAGUCUAAUGUGAAAGCCCUCGGCUUAACCGAGGAAUUGCAUCGGAAACUGUUUUUCUUGAGUGCAGAAGAGGAGAGUGGAACUCCAUGUGUAGCGGUGGAAUGCGUAGAUAUAUGGAAGAACACCAGUGGCGAAGGCGGCUCUCUGGUCUGCAACUGACGCUGAGGCUCGAAAGCAUGGGUAGCGAACAGGAUUAGAUACCCUGGUAGUCCAUGCCGUAAACGAUGAGUGCUAAGUGUUGGGAGGUUUCCGCCUCUCAGUGCUGCAGCUAACGCAUUAAGCACUCCGCCUGGGGAGUACGACCGCAAGGUUGAAACUCAAAGGAAUUGACGGGGGCCCGCACAAGCGGUGGAGCAUGUGGUUUAAUUCGAAGCAACGCGAAGAACCUUACCAGGUCUUGACAUCUAGCGCCAAUCGUAGAGAUACGAUGUUC